GAAAGUAUAGCUCAGUGGUAGAGCUCAUGCUUAGUAUGCAUGAGGCCCUGGGUUCAAUUUCCAACACCA
rnacentral:tRNA from 1 species